UCCCUGGUGGCUCAAUGGAUAAAGAGUCUGCCUGUAAUGCAGGAGACCCAGGUUCAAUCCCUGGGAAGGGAA
rnacentral:tRNA from 1 species